rnacentral:rRNA from 1 species
CCUACGGGAGGCUGCAGUGGGGAAUAUUGGACAAUGGGCGCAAGCCUGAUCCAGCCAUGCCGCGUGAGUGACGAAGGUCUUCGGAUUGUAAAACUCUUUUGGCGGGGACGCGGUACCCGCAGAAUAAGCCCCGGCUAACUUCGUGCCAGCAGCCGCGGUAAUACGAAGGGGGCUAGCGUUGUUCGGAAUCACUGGGCGUAAAGCGCACGUAGGCGGAUGUGUCAGUCAGGGGUGAAAUCCCGGAGCUCAACUUCGGAACUGCCUCUGAUACAGCACGUCUUGAGUUCGAGAGAGGUGGGUGGAAUUCCUAGUGUAGAGGUGAAAUUCGUAGAUAUUAGGAAGAACACCGGUGGCGAAGGCGGCCCACUGGCUCGAACUGACGCUGAGGUGCGAAGCGUGGGGAGCAACAGGAUUAGAUACCCUUGUAGUC